rnacentral:rRNA from 1 species
GAUGAACGCUGGCGGCGUGCCUAAUACAUGCAAGUCGAGCGAACGGACGAGAAGCUUGCUUCUCUGAUUUUAGCGGCGGACGGGUGAGUAACACGUGGAUAACCUCCCUCUAAGACUGGGAUAACUUCGGGAAACCGGAGCUAAUACCGGAUAAUAUUUUUAACCGCAUGGUUCAACAGUGAAAGACGGUCUUGCUGUCACUUAUAGAUGGAUCCGCGCUGCAUUAGCUAGUUGGUAAGGUAACGGCUUACCAAGGCAACGAUGCAUAGCCGACCUGAGAGGGUGAUCGGCCACACUGGAACUGAGACACGGUCCAGACUCCUACGGGAGGCAGCAGUAGGGAAUCUUCCGCAAUGGGCGAAAGCCUGACGGAGCAACGACGCGUGAGUGAUGAAGGUCUUCGGAUCGUAAAACUCUGUUAUUAGGGAAGAACAUAUGUGUAAGUAACUGUGCACAUCUUGACGGUACCUAAUCAGAAAGCCACGGCUAACUACGUG